rnacentral:lncRNA from 1 species
AAGAUUUAAUACGCUUUAAUUAGAAUGUAACCUAAUAGCAUUGCCUGUAUCAUCGACUGCCUCAGUUGCGUCAGCGAAAUUCUGUGCCAAUUGCAAGGAGGGAAAAAAAAAAAAAAAAUACAAUCCAGCAAUCAUAGCCGCCAGAGGCUACCACUACCAAACUCCCCGGCCUCCAAUGACCAAAAAACGAACAACCUCCGGCCCUGAACAGCCGGAAACACCGACGACACCACCAAGUCCGCGAGUUCCACUGUCUGCUCCACACCAUAUCCGCCGCCUCACCGUCAAUAAGACCCACCUUCACAUUCAUCAGACACCGGCGACCACACAUCAGCGUCGUCAACGUCAAUCACCGCCCGGAACAACCACACGAACGCCACAAAACCGCCGCCACUUUGUUUCUGAGUUUCGCGUCAAUCCGCUGUUAUUCUGAUCAUCCAAUUAUUCUUGAUUGAUUAUUGAAUUAUUCGAUUCUCAAAUUUACCUUUAUCGGCAUUAUUUUAUUAUCAGAAAGAUGGGAGGCAAUUCCUUUGUUUAUUCUGAUUCUGAUUUAUAAGAGGUUUCAUGAAUAGGGUUUUGCUUCUAUGUUAAGUUUUGAGUCUUUUUGUAGCUUAUAUAGCUAGCCUCAUUUACACUAAGCUAGGUAGCUUUCUGAGGAGCAAAUACUUAGUAUACUCAAAAAGAGCACAUCAUGAGUAGUACUAGCCCCCAGAAAGACCCUUCUCCUAAGCAGAAGCCUGAUGAAUCAACACAAAAAAGCCUCAGCGGGUCAACGGAAGCGUGCUCGCGCGACUUUCAGAGAAAGUCAGACGAGACUGAAAAAAUGUUUAGAAGAUCCCAAGAGUCCCAAGAAAAUGGAUGUUUAAUUUUAUAAAUCUUCGUAUGAAC